rnacentral:sRNA from 1 species
ACCCUGGAGAGAAAAUGGCGGCGGCAGCGGCUUCGGCGCCUCAGCAGCUCUCGGAUGAGGAGCUUUUCUCUCAGCUCCGCCGUUACGGCCUGUCUCCCGGACCAGUGACGGAGAGCACCCGCCCGGUCUACCUCAAGAAGCUGAAGAAGCUUCGAGAGGAAGAGCAGCAACAGCACCGGUCAGGGGGCCGCGGCAACAAGACGCGGAACAGUAAUAACAAUAACACGGCAGCCGCCACGGUCGCAGCCGCGGGACCAGCGGCGGCGGCGGCCGCGGGGAUGGGGGUCCGGCCGGUCUCGGGCGACCUCUCCUACUUAAGGACUCCUGGGGGCCUGUGCCGAAUCUCGGCCUCUGGCCCAGAGAGCCUCCUGGGAGGGCCCGGGGGCGCCUCCGCCGCCCCCGCGGCUGGCAGCAAAGUGCUACUGGGCUUCAGCUCGGACGAGUCGGACGUGGAGGCCAGUCCCCGGGACCAGGCCGGCGGCGGCGGGAGGAAGGACCGGGCUUCGCUCCAGUACCGCGGGCUCAAAGCGCCGCCGGCGCCCCUGGCCGCCAGCGAGGUGACUAACAGCAACUCUGCCGAGCGAAGGAAGCCCCACUCGUGGUGGGGGGCCAGGAGGCCGGCGGGCCCCGAGCUGCAGACCCCGCCGGGGAAAGAUGGAGCAGUGGAGGACGAGGAAGGGGAGGGAGAGGACGGUGAGGAGAGGGACCCGGAGACCGAGGAGCCGCUCUGGGCGAGCCGGACCGUGAAUGGCAGCCGGCUUGUCCCCUACAGCUGCCGGGAAAACUAUUCGGACUCAGAGGAAGAGGACGACGACGACGUGGCCUCCAGCAGACAGUAGAAAACCCCUUUGGUGAA